rnacentral:rRNA from 1 species
AGAGCGAACGCUGGCGGCAGGCCUAAUACAUGCAAGUCGAACGGACCCUUCGGGGUUAGUGGCGGACGGGUGAGUAACACGUGGGAACGUGCCCUUUGGUUCGGAACAACUCAGGGAAACUUGAGCUAAUACCGAAUGUGCCCCCAUCCUUAAACAAGAUGGGUGGGAAAGAUUUAUCGCCAUUGGAGCGGCCCGCGUCUGAUUAGCUAGUUGGUGAGGUAAAGGCUCACCAAGGCGACGAUCAGUAGCUGGUCUGAGAGGAUGAUCAGCCACACUGGGACUGAGACACGGCCCAGACUCCUACGGGAGCAGCAGUAGGGAAUCUUGCGCAAUGGGCGAAAGCCUGACGCAGCCAUGCCGCGUGAAUGAUGAAGGUCUUAGGAUUGUAAAAUUCUUUCAGCGGGGACGAUAAUGACGGUACCCGCAGAAGAAGCCCCGGCUAACUUCGUGCCAGCAGCCGC